ACUCAAAUGAAUAGACGGGGGCCCGCACAAGCGGUGGAGCAUGUGGUUUAAUUCGAUGCAACGCGAAGAACCUUACCUACUCUUGACAUGCUAGGAAUCUUGUAGAGAUAUGAGAGUGCCUUCGGGAACCUAGACACAGGUGCUGCAUGGCUGUCGUCAGCUCGUGUUGUGAGAUGUUGGGUUAAGUCCCGUAACGAGCGCAACCCUUGUCCACAGUUGCCAUCAUUAAGUUGGGGACUCUGUGGAGACUGCCGGUGACAAACCGGAGGAAGGCGGGGACGAUGUCAAGUCAUCAUGGCCUUUAUGAGUAGGGCUACACACGUGCUACAAUGGGCGGUACAAAGGGAAGCGAAGCGGUGACGUGAAGCAAAUCCCAGAAAGCCGUUCGUAGUCCGGAUUGAAGUCUGCAACUCGACUUCAUGAAGUUGGAAUCGCUAGUAAUCGUGAAUCAGAACGUCACGGUGAAUACGUUCCCGGGCCUUGCACACACCGCCCGU
rnacentral:rRNA from 1 species